AUUAAACUAGAGGAUUCUCUAAGAUCAAGUGGAGCAUCUGUUCUUAUCAGUUUCUUAUCUGAUAUAUCCCCUAUAGUGAGAUAACACCGAUGCUUUUUAGCAACAGGAGUUGAAUAAUGGCGCUUGCUCCGCCCACCAGCCACACCACGAACAGUGGAAGUGAAGAUAAUCAGUUUCCGUAGUGUAGUGGUUAUC
ensembl:snRNA U2 U2 spliceosomal RNA